rnacentral:lncRNA from 10 species
ACAGAAAUACCCUGGGAGGCUAGAGAGAGGCAACGUCAUGGGGGCCCUAGAAACAAGAACCAAUCCAGCAGCAACAAGCAUCUCUGGCAGUCUAUCAUUUCCCUUCAACUGAAAUCAGAUCUUCUUAAAGAAAUGCUUGGCUCUCAGACUGGGAACGGAAAUGUACAAGAUGUGCUUCGAUAUCUGGUCAAAUCAGAAACUCAAAAAGCUAUCAAAGUCUCUUUGGACUGUGUCAGAAAGAGGUGAAAAGACUCCCACUUGCCAAAGACGGGACAAUUUGAGCAUUCAUAAGACUAAUCACUAUAAUGGACUAUAGUGAACUGAAGUACAUCAAAUAUGUUUCAAUCCAUGAUUUCAUAAUGGUAUCUUAAAUAAUUGGUCACUUGUGAAGGACUCUACGUAACCAACUCAACAACUUGAAAACUGGUAAUAAAGAGAAAUCCUUUAUUCUGCCUUUCCUAUAGAAACCAUAACUGAACCCCAUGGUUGAUGAAGCAAUUUCUCUUACACAAGCAGUCUACCUAAUAACUGAAGAAAGGAGCGAGCAGGGCAGGAGAGUGGGUGUGGGGGAGAAAAAAGAAUAAAUACAUAAAUGAAGAAAGAAAUAAUAGAAUUCCAAUAUUACUAUUUUGCAACUCCUAAUGAAAUAAUGGAUUAGUCGAUGAUCACGAAUGACUUAGAACAUCACCAAAAGAGACGGACACAAGCAGACAGCAUGUACCUCUGGGUGAAUGUUCACAACAUUCCCUGAGAAGGGGCCCUGCAAAAACAAACACUGAACUUCAAUCUGAUCAGACCUCUAGAUGAAAUUAGCAAUUCACAAGAAGUCAGCGAUCAGAGGAGUGUCUUACAUAGCACCUCCAGGGUAGAAUCAGCAAAACCCAGACUGGAAAGCUGUACAGUACAAAAAAAAUCCAUUUUCUCCAACAAACCUAUUUCAAGAGGGGGAAAAAAUGAGAGAGCUAACCUGUACAUUAAAGGAGAUAUAAAAAACAAUAAUCAGGUCAGGCAAGGCACAUCUGUAAUCUCAGCACUUUGUCAGACCAAGGCAGGUAGAUCGCUUCAAUCAAGGAGUUCGAAACCAGCCUGGGCAAUGUGGUAUAAAACCUGUCUCUAUCAAAAAAAAAAAAAAAAAAAAAAUCAGCCGGGUGUGGUGGCCCAUGCCCAAAUCCCACUUUUGGGAUUACAAAUUAUAAUCCCAAAUUUUGUAUUCUGAAAUCACACUUUUGGGAUUAUAGGUGUGAGCCACCGUGCCUGGCCUUCGAUCUUGAUUUAAAGUAAACUUAUUACGAAACAAAAUAUAUGAGGCAGGGUACGGUGGCUCACACCUGCAAUCCCAGCAUUUUGGGAGGCUGAGGCAGGCAGAUUGCUUGAUCCCAGGAGGUCAAGACCAGCUUGGGCAAGACAGGAAGAUCUCUACCAAAACUACAAAAAUUAGCUAGGUGUGGUGGCAUGCACCUGUAGUCCCAGCUACUCAGGAGGCUGAGGUGGGAGGAUCACUUGAGCCCGGGAGGCAGAGGUUGCAGUGAGCUGAGAUCACACCACUGCACUCCAGCUUGGGAGAAUCUGAAAAAAAUCAGAGACCCCUAAAUUCCAAGCUAUUUUGCCACUGUUCUGAGCCUAGGAAUCUGCUGUUUUCAGUAAAGACCACUUCAGAGUCCAGAACCACAGGGUUGGACCAUCUCCCUCCAAUUGUCUCUUUACUGAUCAUGACCACCUCUCCCAUUCUCUCCCAGCCUCCCCUCCUACCAGCACAGAGGAGAGAACCAGGAGAGUGGAGGAUUCAGCCACCCAGAAUGAUGUGCAGGCGGGGCGUGGUAUUUCACGCCUAUAAUCCCAGCACUUUGGGAGGCCAAGGUGGGUAGAUCACUUGAGGUCAGGAGUUCAAGACCAGCCUGGUCAACAUGGUAAAACUCCGUCUCUACUAAAAAUACAAAAACUAGCCAGGCGUGGUGGCACGUGCCUGUAGUCCCAGCUACUUGGGAGGCUGAGGCAGGAAAAUCACUAGAACCAGGAAGGCAGAAGUUGCAGUGAGCUGAGAUAGCACCAUUGCACUCCAGCCUGGGCAACAGAGUGAGACUCUAUCUCAAAAAUAAUAAAUAAAUAAAUAAAUAAAUAAAUAAAUAAAAACAGAAUGAGGUGCAGACAAGAGGUUCCCUGAAAGUGGUUCCAAUUCAUACUCUUACUCAUCUGGAGCAUAGAUUUUGGCAUUAUUGGGGAUGUCCCCAAAUGAACAAGUUCUGCUCAUGUGAUAUGAGUUGAUGUUCCUGAUCCCAACUGGGCCUGUGAUUUGGAAAGAGAAGUGUUUAGGAUACUCCUCCAAAUACCACCAGCAGCUAGAAUAACUGUAAAUGAUGCACUGUGGGACUCCACUUUGAAAAAAGGGACACUCUGUGUCCACGACCUAGAUGCUCCUAAGUCAGAAGAACUAAGAAUUAGCCAAUAUCCCCACCUAUGCCUACUAUAGUCUCUCAAAUCACUCAACCUUUCCUAGAUUCAGUUGCUACUUCUGCAAUAAGGGAUAAUAUUUUAUCUAGACCAGGAACCAGACUAGGAUACCUCUUGAGGUCCCUAACUGCUUUGAGCUCUAACCUUAUCAGCUACAAUACUGGGAGGAACUCCUUAUUUCAGAGAACAGAAUAAACAGCAGGACCCAAGGAAGGGCAAGAAUGGGCAAGUUAGGAAGUGUUGCUGGACAUAUGAAGCCAAGGGUUGAACCUGGUAGGCAGACACUAAUUAAACAAAUGUAAUACUUACUGAGCUCUUACUACAUGCCUGCUGCUAGGCUAGGUCCUUUUUAUGCCUCAUCCCAUUAUUACCCUCAACAAUCUGUAGGCAACAACCCUCACUUCCUUCUCUCAAAGGAAACCUCACUCCGACAUCUCAGGAACAUGUCUCUUACGCAUUUCGUAUUUCAAACACCUGGAAGUUAUAUGAAAUAACUGAAAAGUUUCAUGCAAUGUGCAGCAAAGAUGCUGAGGGACAGCCCAGGUCUAAUGUGGAAGGUCUGAGUUCAUGGGGUGGGAGGAGGUGGGGGUCAAAGACCUCCAUAAUACAAUGAACAAAGCUUCUUCCAUCUUACCUUCAAGCAGCAGCCUAUCUAAAAGAAUUUGUCAUCUUUGCAAAAGACAUCCAGAAGAUUCCAAGCUUCUCCAGUCAGAGCUUUGUGUUUGACAGAAGCCAUGACCAGCCAUUGCUCCAUUCCCAGUGGCUCAUCUGGCCAUCUGCUAUCUUGGGUUUUUUUGUUUGUUUGUUUGUUUUCAGAAACUCCAGCAAGCAACACAUGAAUCACAUCUCUAAACAAAGGCUUGUUCCACCUCUUACAAUUUUAUAAUAAAUGAGUGAGGCUGAAAGUGGGGUGUAUUUAUUUGCAAGAAGUCACAAUGUAAGGGGUGAUUAUAGAGCAAUUGUUUUUUCUCUAUCAUUUCCUAACAAGAGUCAUACCUUGAAGUUUCAAUAAUUACAUACUGAUAGUGACACACAAAAAAGAGGAAUUUACAUGGGAAGCAAAGAUGUGAACUAUAUUACGUGGAUUUUUUUUUUAAGAUGGGGUCUUACUCUGUCAUCCAUGGUGGAGUGCAGUGGCACAAACAUGGCUCAUGGCAGCCUUGACAUCCCCAAGCUCAGGUGAUCCUCUCACCUCAGUUUUUUAAAUUAAAUUAAUUUUUUGUUUUUUAUUUUUAGUAGAGACAGGGUUUUGUCAUCUUGCCCAGGCCAGUCUCAAACUCCUGGACUCAAGCAAUCUGCCUGCCUUGGCCUUCCAAAGUGCUAGGAUUACAGGCGUGAGCCACAUAUGGAUUUUUCUGUCCCCAGUGAAGGAGCAACAUUUGAACUGUGUUUACAUUAGUCUAGCCAAAACAAAAACAAAAAAAACUCUUUCCCUCACCAAACCAUAUAAUUAACAAUGGGGCUUAACUCUGUAGCCACAAUCAUACCCAGCAUUAUUUCAGUGAAUCAAUGAAGCAAUAAUGGGGCACAGGGCUUUAUUAGUUGUCUGUGCCUCCUGGCUAUGGAGAUUCAGUACGAUAAACAUGUCCAUCUGAAAAUUCAGUAUUUCUGGUUGCUUCACUUGUCUGUGAAGACCCCUGACAUUUAGGGACAUGCAGUUUUGCUGAGGCUCAGACACAAGUGGCACUGCCCAGCUGGGCAUGGUUGAGUGAGUAUGGAUGAGAGCUGACUACCCAGCUUCCCAAAGCGGCUCUGCAUUUCUCAGCAGGUGGUCUCACAGGCAGAAACCUACGGGAAACACCUUUUUUAAAAAACCUUGUUUCUUUGUGAAAAUCGCCUCCCAAUAAAGCCACUUGCUUACACAGGUAAUAGAAGCAAUGAAAAUGUCUGGCCAGGUGUGGUGGCUUACGCCUGUAAUCCCAGUACUUUGGGAGGCCAAGGUCAGGAGUUUGAGACCAGCCUGCCAAAUAUGGUGAAACCCUGUCUCUACUAAAAAUACAAAAAUUAGCCGGGCAUGGUGGCGGGCGCCUGUAAUCCCAGCUACUCAGGAGACUGAGGCAGGAAGAAUCACUUGAAUCUGGGAGGCGGAGGUUGCAGUGAGCCGAGAUCGCACCAUUACACUCCAGCCUGGGCAACAAGAGCAAAACUCAGUCUCAAAAAACAAAAAACAAAAAACAAAAAAAAAAAGAAGUAAUGAAAAUGUGAAGAGAUCUAAGAAAGUGACAGUUUUUAGGAAUUGUAAAUUGGGGUAAAGACUGGAAUUUUUAUCUCAAUGAUAGUUCAGCUCUAUGAUUCCAGCAUAAAUGCAGACAUUUCGUAAAAGACUAGAGAAAUGAUUUCAGGAAAUGUGUCCAGCCAGCUCAAACAUUUCUCACAGAGUACGAUACAAAGCUUAAGUGAAAGUAGGAACAGCAGAUAACUUGUGGUAAGAGAAUACAAACAGGAAGCAGCAGCCUCUCGAAGUAAAUAUUAUUGAAUCAGGCCUAGAAGACCUGGGGAAGUAUUUAUGUAUCAUCUAAUUGGAAGAUUUACAAAGCUCUCUAGUGUCUUUGGUAGAGGUCAAGAAAGGGUCGGCUCUCCUUCCUGCAAGCAGGCCGGUGGGAUCACUGCACAGCAGCCUCCCUCUCCUUUUAGGAUCCCUCAUCUAACCCCACACCAAUGGAUUUUGGGGGUUGAAAGAUUCUGGGCUGGGCACGGUGGCUGAUGUCUGUAAUCCCAGCACUUUGGGAGGCUGAGGCAGGAGGAUCACUUGAGCCCAAGAGUUCAAGACCAGCCUGGGCAACAUGGCAAGACCUUGUCUCUAUAAAAAUUUUUUUAAAAAAUUAGCCAGGCAUGGUGGUGUGAGCCUGUGGCCCCAAUUACUCAGGAGGCUGAAGUGAGAGGAUUGCUUGAGCCUGGGAGGUUAAGGCUGCAGUGAGCCAAGAUCGCACCACUACACUACAGCCUGGGUGACAGAGUGAGACCCUCUCUAAAUAAUAAAUAAAGACUCUGGGGCCGGGCGCAGUGGCUCACGCCUGUAAUCCCAGCACUUUGGGAGGCCGAGGUGGACAGCUCACGAGGUCAGGAGUUCGAGACCAGCCUGGCCAACAUGGUGAAACCCCAUCUCUACUAAAAAUACAAAAAUUAGCUGGGCUUGGUGGCACGUGCCUGUAAUCCCAGUUACUCAGGAGGCUGAGGCAGGAGAAUCGCUUGAACCUGGGAGGCAAAGGUUGUAGUGAGCUGAG